GGCUCAUCGCAUCCUGGGGCUGAAGAAGGUCCCAAGGGUUUGGCUGUUCGCCAAUUAAAGCGGUACGCGAGCUGGGUUCAAAACGUCGUGAGACAGUUUGGUCCUUAUCCACUGUGGGCGCAGGAAAUUUGAGGAGAACAUUCCUUAGUACGAGAGGACCGGGAAUGACGUACCUCUAGUGUACCAGUUGUUCCGCCAGGAGCAUAGCUGGGUAGCCACGUACGGAAAAGAUAAGCGCUGAAAGCAUCUAAGCGCUAAGCUCCCUCCAAGAUCAGAUUUCCCUCCCGCGCAAGCGGGACUAAAGGCGGGUUGUAGACUACGACCUUGAUAGGCCGGGUGUGUAAGCGUCGUGAGACGUUGAGCUAACCGGUACUAAUCCGCCGUGCGACUUGGCCAU
rnacentral:rRNA from 1 species